ensembl:rRNA 5S_rRNA 5S ribosomal RNA
AUCUACGGCCAUACCACCCAGAACGCGCCCGAUCUCGUCUGAUCUCGGAAGCUAAGCAGGGUCGGCCCUGGUUAGUACUUGGAAGGGAGAAAUGCUAUUAUCAAAAAGACAUUUUAAAAAAUCAAAUUCUGGUUC